rnacentral:rRNA from 1 species
GACGAACGCUGGCGGCGUGCUUAACACAUGCAAGUCGAACGGAAAGGCCCUGCUUUUGUGGGGUGCUCGAGUGGCGAACGGGUGAGUAACACGUGAGUAACCUGCCCUUGACUUUGGGGUAAAUUCAGGAAACUGGGGCUAAUACCGGAUAGGAGCUCCUGCUGCGUGGUGGGGGUUGGAAAGUGUCGGCGGUUGGGGAUGGUCUCGCGGCUUAUCAGCUUGUUGGGGGGGUAGUGGCUUACCAAGGCUUUGAAGGGUCGCCGGCCUGAGAGGGUGACCGGCCACAUUGGGCCUGAGAUACGGCCCAGACUCCUACGGGAGGCAGCAGUGGGGAAUAUUGCACAAUGGGCGGAAGCCUGAUGCAGCAACGCCGCGUGCGGGAUGACGGCCUUCGGGUUGUAAACCGCUUUCGCCUGUGACGAAGCGUGAGUGACGGUAAUGGGUAAAGAAGCACCGGCUAACUACGUG